rnacentral:rRNA from 1 species
UACGUAGGGUGCGAGCGUUGUCCGGAAUUAUUGGGCGUAAAGGGCUCGUAGGCGGUCUGUCGCGUCGGGAGUGAAAACUCAGGGCUUAACCCUGAGCCUGCUUCCGAUACGGGCAGACUAGAGGUAUGCAGGGGAGAACGGAAUUCCUGGUGUAGCGGUGGAAUGCGCAGAUAUCAGGAGGAACACCGGUGGCGAAGGCGGCGUUCUGGACUGCAACUGACACUGAGAGACGAAAGCCAGGGGAGCAAACGGG